rnacentral:rRNA from 1 species
CAGCUCUCCGAGUGGUAGGGAUGAUUAAUGGGCUUAAAGCGUCCGUAGCCGGCUUAGCAAGUUUCCUGUUAAACCCAGCGACUCAAUCGUUGGAUCGCGGGAAAUACUACUAGGCUAGGAGGCGGGAGAGGUCAACGGUACUUCUGGGGUAGGGGUGAAAUCCUAUAAUCCCGGGAGGACCACCAGUGGCGAAGGCUGUUGACUAGAACGCGCUCGACGGUGAGGGACGAAAGCUGGGGGAGCGAACCGGAUUAGAUACCCGAGUAGUCC